rnacentral:piRNA from 1 species
UCCAAACAUUCUGCAAAAGGCUAAGGUGA